rfam:Sus scrofa isolate TJ Tabasco breed Duroc chromosome 13, whole genome shotgun sequence.
UAGGGGAGACGGGGUUCGGACCCCCUCCCCGAGCCCAGGGUAACUUUAAAGGUGGAGGGGCA